GCAGUCGAGCGGACAGAAGGGAGCUUGCUCCCGGAUGUUAGCGGCGGACGGGUGAGUAACACGUGGGUAACCUGCCUGUAAGACUGGGAUAACUCCGGGAAACCGGAGCUAAUACCGGAUAGUUCCUUGAACCGCAUGGUUCAAGGAUGAAAGACGGUUUCGGCUGUCACUUACAGAUGGACCCGCGGCGCAUUAGCUAGUUGGUGGGGUAAUGGCUCACCAAGGCGACGAUGCGUAGCCGACCUGAGAGGGUGAUCGGCCACACUGGGACUGAGACACGGCCCAGACUCCUACGGGAGGCAGCAGUAGGGAAUCUUCCGCAAUGGACGAAAGUCUGACGGAGCAACGCCGCGUGAGUGAUGAAGGUUUUCGGAUCGUAAAGCUCUGUUGUUAGGGAAGAACAAGUGCGAGAGUAACUGCUCGCACCUUGACGGUACCUAACCAGAAAGCCACGGCUAACUACGUGCCAGCAGCCGCGGUAAUACGUAGGUGGCAAGCGUUGUCCGGAAUUAUUGGGCGUAAAGGGCUCGCAUGCGGUUUCUUAAGUCUG
rnacentral:rRNA from 1 species